CGGUCUCGACCAGCUGCGGGCAGAUGAAGUGAAUGUGCGUGUCGAUGCCGCCGGCGGUGGCGAUGAGGUUCUCGCCGGCAAUCACUUCGGUUCCAGGGCCGAUGACGAGCUUGGGGUCCACGCCGGGCUGGAUCAGGGGGUUGCCCGCCUUGCCGACGCCGACGAUCCGGCCCCCCCGGAUGCCGAUGUCGCCCUUGACGAUGCCCCAGUGGUCGAGGAUGACGGCGUUGGUGAUUACCACGUCCAGUUGCGGCACCUUCACCGGAUCGGGCAGAGGCGAUUGUCCCUG
rnacentral:sRNA from 1 species